CCUUGGUGCUAUUUCGUUGGUUAUGGGACUGGGGUAAUGAUUAAUAGGGACAGUUGGGGCCGUUCAUAUUUCGUUGUCAGAGGUGAAAUUCUUGGAUUUACGAACGAUGAACUUGUGCGAAAGCAUUCGGCAAGGAUGUUUUCAUUGAUCAAGAACGAAAGUUAGGGGAUCGAAGACGAUCAGAUACCGUCGUAGUCUUAACCAUAAACUAUGCCAACUAGGGAUCAUUGAGUGUCAAUUUACGACCUCAUUGGCACCUUGUGAGAAAUCAAAGUUUUUGGGUUCCGGGGGGAGUAUGGUCGCAAGGCUGAAACUUAAAGGAAUUGACGGAAGGGCACCACCAGGAGUGGAGCCUGCGGCUUAAUUUGACUCAACACGGGGAAACUCACC
rnacentral:rRNA from 1 species